rnacentral:rRNA from 1 species
GACGAACGCUGGCGGCGUGCCUAAUACAUGCAAGUUGAGCGCUGAAGGUUGGUACUUGUACCAACUGGAUGAGCAGCGAACGGGUGAGUAACGCGUGGGGAAUCUGCCUUUGAGCGGGGGACAACAUUUGGAAACGAAUGCUAAUACCGCAUAAAAACUUUAAACACAAGUUUUAAGUUUGAAAGAUGCAAUUGCAUCACUCAAAGAUGAUCCCGCGUUGUAUUAGCUAGUUGGUGAGGUAAAGGCUCACCAAGGCGAUGAUACAUAGCCGACCUGAGAGGGUGGUCGGCGACAUUGGGACUGAGACACGGCCCAAACUCCUACGGGAAGCAGCAGUAGGGAAUCUUCGGCAAUGGACGAAAGUCUGACCGAGCAACGCCGCGUGAGUGAAGAAGGUUGUCGGAUCGUAAAACUCUGUUGGUAGAGAAGAACGUUGGUGAGAGUGGAAAGCUCAUCAAGUGACGGUAACUACCCAGAAAGGGACGGCUAACUACGUG